UGUGGUUAAGUUACUAAGGGCACACGGUGGAUGCCUUGGCGCUAGGAGCCGAAGAAGGACGCAGCGAACUGCGAUAAGCCUCGGGGAGCGGUAAGCACGCUUUGAUCCGGGGAUCUCCGAAUGGGGCAACCCGACCAUCUGUAAUGGGAUGGUAUCCGUAUCUGAAUACAUAGGGUACGAGAAGGCAGACCCGGUGAACUGAAACAUCUAAGUAGCCGGAGGAAGAGAAAACAAUAGUGAUUCCGUCAGUAGUGGCGAGCGAACGCGGAAGAGCCUAAACCGUCGGGUUUACCCGGCGGGGUUGUGGGGCGUCUCACAUGGAGUUACAAAAGACGCGCGUAGGUGAACAGCUUGGGAAAGCUGACCAUAGAGCGUGAUAGUCGCGUAACCUAAACGCGCGUCUCUCCGAGACCAACCCCGAGUAGCGCGGGACACGUGAAAUCCCGUGUGAAUCUGGCAGGACCAUCUGCUAAGGCUAAAUACUACCUAGCGACCGAUAGUGAACCAGUACCGUGAGGGAAAGGUGAAAAGCACCCCGGGAGGGGAGUGAAAUAGUACCUGAAACCGUGUGCUUACAAAUAGUCGGAGCCCGUUAAAAGGGUGACGGCGUGCCUUUUGUAGAAUGAACCGGCGAGUUACGGUAGCGUGCGAGGUUAAGUUGAAGAGAC
rnacentral:rRNA from 1 species